UGCCCCAUGGCUGAGUUGGUUACAGCGUCCGACUGUUAUGGCCUGGUGCACUAUGCACAGUGUUCAUUGUGCAUAAUGUACCACGAGUUAAUCGGAAGGUCGUGAGUUCGAGCCUCACUGGGGCAG